rnacentral:rRNA from 1 species
CCUACGGGGGGCUGCAGUGGGGAAUCUUCCGCAAUGGACGAAAGUCUGACGGAGCAACGCCGCGUGAGUGAUGACGGCCUUCGGGUUGUAAAGCUCUGUUAAUCGGGACGAAUGGUUCUUGUGCGAAUAGUGCGAGGAUUUGACGGUACCGGAAUAGAAAGCCACGGCUAACUACGUGCCAGCAGCCGCGGUAAUACGUAGGUGGCAAGCGUUGUCCGGAAUUAUUGGGCGUAAAGCGCGCGCAGGCGGAUUGGUCAGUCUGUCUUAAAAGUUCGGGGCUUAACCUCGUGAUGGGAUGGAAACUGCUGAUCUAGAGUAUCGGAGAGGAAAGUGGAAUUCCUAGUGUAGCGGUGAAAUGCGUAGAUAUUAGGAAGAACACCAGUGGCGAAGGCGACUUUCUGGACGAAAACUGACGCUGAGGCGCGAAAGCCAGGGGAGC